GGUUCUUUGAAUGAAUAGAGUAAAGAAUCUUGCCUGCCCAGUGAUGAAAAUUUAACGGCCGCGGUAAUUUAACUGUGCGAAGGUAGCAUAAUCAAUUGUCUAUUAAUUGUAGACUGGAAUGAAUGGUAGGACUAGAAAUUAGUUGUCUUGGUAUUAAUUUAAAAUUUUCAUUUUCUUGAAGAGAAGAAGAUGUUUCAGGGGGACGAGAAGACCCUAUUGAGCUUUAUAUAAAGGAUUAUGAUUAUAUGUAGUGAGUUGAAUAAUUACAAAAUAUUUUGCUGGGGCGGUGGAUUUAAACAUUAAAACAAUUUUUAAAGGAAAUAUUAUUAAAUGAAAUUUUGAUCCAAUAAAAUUGAUUAUAAGACUAAGUUACUGUAGGGAUAACAGCGUAAUAUUAUUUAGAAGUACUAAUUUGUGAUAAAGAUUGCGACCUCGAUGUUGGUUUAGGAAGCUUGUUUGGUGCAGAUGCUAAAUUAAGUAGUCUGUUCGACUAUUAAAUUCCUAUA
rnacentral:rRNA from 1 species